rnacentral:rRNA from 1 species
UACGUAGGGUGCAAGCGUUGUCCGGAAUUAUUGGGCGUAAAGAGCUUGUAGGCGGUUUGUCGCGUCUGCUGUGAAAUUUCGGGGCUCAACCCCGAACUUGCAGUGGGUACGGGCAGACUAGAGUGUGGUAGGGAGGACUGGAAUUCCUGGUGUAGCGGUGAAAUGCGCAGAUAUCAGGAGGAACACCGAUGGCGAAGGCAGGUCUCUGGGACGGUACUGACGCUGAGGCGCGAAAGCGUGGGGAGCGAACAGG